rnacentral:pre_miRNA from 9 species
UCUCGAUAGCGUAAAAGUUCACUAAAAUUUGUAUGGAGUUGGAACGUUUGCCUACGUUUGCCGCUAGGGGCGCUGUUCUCCAUACAAAUUUUAGUUAACUUUUACGUUAUCGA